CAGCCGCCGCGGUAAUACGAAGGGUGCAAGCGUUACUCGGAAUUACUGGGCGUAAAGCGUGCGUAGGUGGUGGUUUAAGUCCGUUGUGAAAGCCCUGGGCUCAACCUGGGAAUUGCAGUGGAUACUGGGUCACUAGAGCGUGGUAGAGGAUAGUGGAAUUUCCGGUGUAGCAGUGAAAUGCGUAGAGAUCGGAAGGAACAUCUGUGGCGAAGGCGACUAUCUGGGCCAGCACUGACACUGAGGCACGAAAGCGUGGGGAGCAAACAGGAUUAGAUACCCCUGUAGUCCCUGUCUCUUAUAC
rnacentral:rRNA from 1 species